rnacentral:rRNA from 1 species
UGGGGAAUAUUGGACAAUGGGCGGAAGCCUGAUCCAGCCAUGCCGCGUGUGUGAAGAAGGUCUUCGGAUUGUAAAGCACUUUAAGUUGGGAGGAAGGGCAUUAACCUAAUACGUUAGUGUUUUGACGUUACCGACAGAAUAAGCACCGGCUAACUCUGUGCCAGCAGCCGCGGUAAUACAGAGGGUGCAAGCGUUAAUCGGAAUUACUGGGCGUAAAGCGCGCGUAGGUGGUCUGUUAAGUUGGAUGUGAAAUCCCCGGGCUCAACCUGGGAACUGCAUUCAAAACUGACUGACUAGAGUAUGGUAGAGGGUGGUGGAAUUUCCUGUGUAGCGGUGAAAUGCGUAGAUAUAGGAAGGAACACCAGUGGCGAAGGCGACCACCUGGACUAAUACUGACACUGAGGUGCGAAAGCGUGGGGAGCAAACA